AUUAUUGUAUUACUACUAUUUACUAUUUACUACUAUCUAUUAUCCACGCUAUAAACUAUCUUCUACUAUUCACUCUUCACACUGUUAUCACCCCUCACAGUUUCUAAUCACUCAAUCUUUGAGAGACAGUUCAUUGAGUAAUAGUCAUGGCCUCUACACACAGUAUCUGUUGUACUCAUGCCAUCAUCAAAUCUGAAGCAACUAACAUCAUCAGAGAAAACCACAAAAUGUGCAUUCAUGAAUUCAGAAGUGCACAACAGACAUCUUUCUCUUCAGAGAAAUCAAGCUCAGAGUAUAGUUCUGAGGAAGACAUCUCCUCUGAAGGUCUGAGUGCAAUUAAGGCUGAGAAGAUAGCUGUAACUAGACAGAUCAAAAAGUUACAAGCUGAGAAGGAAUUGCAAGAAUUGCAAUACAAGUGUGA
rnacentral:sRNA from 2 species